AGAGUUUGAUCAUGGCUCAGAUUGAACGCUGGCGGCAGGCCUAACACAUGCAAGUCGAACGGUAACAGGAAGCAGCUUGCUGCUUCGCUGACGAGUGGCGGACGGGUGAGUAAUGUCUGGGAAACUGCCUGAUGGGGGGGGAUAACUACUGGAAACGGUAGCUAAUACCGCAUAACGUCGCAAGACCAAAGAGGGGGACCUUCGGGCCUCUUGCCAUCGGAUGUGCCCAGAUGGGAUUAGCUUGUUGGUGGGGUAACGGCUCACCAAGGCGACGAUCCCUAGCUGGUCUGAGAGGAUGACCAGCCACACUGGAACUGAGACACGGUCCAGACUCCUACGGGAGGCAGCAGUGGGGAAUAUUGCACAAUGGGCGCAAGCCUGAUGCAGCCAUGCCGCGUGUAUGAAGAAGGCCUUCGGGUUGUAAAGUACUUUCAGCGGGGAGGAAGGGAGUAAAGUUAAUACCUUUACUCAUUGACGUUACCCGCAGAAGAAGCACCGGCUAACUCCGUGCCAGCAGCCGCGGUAAUACGGAGGGUGCAAGCGUUAAUCGGAAUUACUGGGCGUAAAGCGCACGCAGGCGGUUUGUUAAGUCAGAUGUGAAAUCCCCGGGCUCAACCUGGGAACUGCAUCUGAUACUGGCAAGCUUGAGUCUCGUAGAGGGGGGUAGAAUUCCAGGUGUAGCGGUGAAAUGCGUAGAGAUCUGGAGGAAUACCGGUGGCGAAGGCGGCCCCCUGGACGAAGACUGACGCUCAGGUGCGAAAGCGUGGGGAGCAAACAGGAUUAGAUACCCUGGUAGUCCACGCCGUAAACGAUGUCGACUUGGAGGUUGUGCCCUUGAGGCGUGGCUUCCGGAGCUAACGCGUUAAGUCGACCGCCUGGGGAGUACGGCCGCAAGGUUAAAACUCAAAUGAAUUGACGGGGGCCCGCACAAGCGGUGGAGCAUGUGGUUUAAUUCGAUGCAACGCGAAGAACCUUACCUGGUCUUGACAUCCACGGAAGUUUUCAGAGAUGGAUUGGUGCCUUCGGGAGCUGUGAGACAGGUGCUGCAUGGCUGUCGUCAGCUCGUGUUGUGAAAUGUUGGGUUAAGUCCCGCAACGAGCGCAACCCUUAUCCUUUGUUGCCAGCGGUCCGGCCGGGAACUCAAAGGAGACUGCCAGUGAUAAACUGGAGGAAGGUGGGGAUGACGUCAAGUCAUCAUGGCCCUUACGACCAGGGCUACACACGUGCUACAAUGGCGCAUACAAAGAGAAGCGACCUCGCGAGAGCAAGCGGACCUCAUAAAGUGCGUCGUAGUCCGGAUUGGAGUCUGCAACUCGACUCCAUGAAGUCGGAAUCGCUAGUAAUCGUGGAUCAGAAUGCCACGGUGAAUACGUUCCCGGGCCUUGUACACACCGCCCGUCACACCAUGGGAGUGGGUUGCAAAAGAAGUAGGUAGCUUAACCUUCGGGAGGGCGCUUACCACUUUGUGAUUCAUGACUGGGGUGAAGUCGUAACAAGGUAACCGUAGGGGAACCUGCGGUUGGAUCACCU
rnacentral:rRNA from 1 species